UUGUUUAAUACAUAGAUAAUUUAAAAUUAAGUUUUCUAAAAGUGUCUCCAUGUUGUUCUUUUUCAGCUAUCCACAUUCAAAUUUUGUCUGUACUCAGCCUCCACCCUACUACCCACUCAGCUGAUUGUAUUAAUUCUGUUUUAUAAUCAAAUACUAUCUAAUACUAUCACUGUAGCACAAGGCCACAAUUACAGCAUGGUUUGCACAGAGAGGAUUCAAACCUGGCCACCCUGGCUUAAACCAGUUUGGGCCCAGAUGAUAAUGUUAUAUUUGAUGUGUCAUAUGAAAGUGGUUGGGCUUAUGCCCGUGCUUCAGAAAUUCCUCAUCAUUUUCAAGAAGCUGAAGCAUGAAGCAACAUUAUAACUGUCGAUCAUAAUCUCAACAUUACGAUCAACAUAUGAAGCAACAUUAUGAAUGUUGAUCAUAAUCUCAGACUUGGAAAGAAAUUUUAUUCUGAUUUUUACAGGUUUUUUUAAAUUCAGACAUUUUUACAUUGAUGCUAAACUUUCACAUGUCUGAGAAAUAUUUUGGAUGAAAAUAUCUUCAAAAUUUGCCAAAGAUUUGCUCCGUGAGCUAAGAAUGAGAAAAAUAUUUUGACUGAACAGAACACUUCAGACAUUACGUAGACAUACAGGAAGAUCACUGUGAAGAGCUGGAAUCAAACCAGAAGAGAAAACAACAUACCCUCUAUUCAGGCUGUGGCAAGCAGCAGAGCUGAGACUUAAUAAAACUCCUUACCAGUUUCA